CGCGACGCUGGCGGCGUGCUUACACACCAAGUCGAGCGAUGAAGCUCCUUCGGGUGUGGAUUAGCGGCGGACGGGUGAGUAACACGUGGGUAACCUGCCUCAUAGAGGGGAAUAGCCUUUCGAAAGGAAGAUUAAUACCGCAUAAGAUUGUAGUGCCGCAUGGCAUAGCAAUUAAAGGAGUAAUCCGCUAUGAGAUGGACCCGCGUCGCAUUAGCUAGUUGGUGAGGUAACGGCUCACCAAGGCGACGAUGCGUAGCCGACCUGAGAGGGUGAUCGGCCACAUUGGGACUGAGACACGGCCCAGACUCCUACGGGAGGCAGCAGUGGGGAAUAUUGCACAAUGGAGGAAACUCUGAUGCAGCAACGCCGCGUGAGUGAUGAAGGUCUUCGGAUUGUAAAGCUCUGUCUUCUGGGACGAUAAUGACGGUACCAGAGGAGGAAGCCACGGCUAACUACGUGCCAGCAGCCGCGGUAAUACGUAGGUGGCAAGCGUUGUCCGGAUUUACUGGGCGUAAAGGAUGUGUAGGCGGAUAUUUAAGUGAGAUGUGAAAUCCCCGGGCUUAACUUGGGGGCUGCAUUUCAACUGGAUGUCUAGAGUGCAGAGAGGAAAGCAGAAUUCCUAGUGUAGCGGUGAAAUGCGUAGAGAUUAGAGAUACCAGUGCGAAGCGCUUUCUGGACUGUACUGACGC
rnacentral:rRNA from 1 species